UACGGAGGGGACUAGCGUUGUUCGGAAUUACUGGGCGUAAAGCGCACGUAGGCGGAUUUGUAAGUCAGGGGUGAAAUCCCGGGGCUCAACCUCGGAACUGCCUUUGAUACUGCAAAUCUCGAGUCCGGAAGAGGUGAGUGGAAUUCCUAGUGUAGAGGUGAAAUUCGUAGAUAUUAGGAAGAACACCAGUGGCGAAGGCGGCUCACUGGCUCGAUACUGACGCUGAGGUGCGAAAGCGUGGGGAGCAAACAGG
rnacentral:rRNA from 1 species